AUGGCCAUUGUGAAUAUCUCUUCUGGGGAGAUCAAUGAGACUCAAUUCUUGGAAGGAUUCAACUACAUGUUCAGCUGGAAUUGGCAAUGGAGAUGCAAAAAACAUGGAGAUAAAGCUUACCUGAUGAGAUUUCCUAGCAAAAGCAGACUGACAGAACUCCACAAGUUUGGAAAUUUCAAUCUGCUGGGGACCAAUGUUGUGAUCAAUGUGGACAGCUGGACAUAUGACACUCAAGCUAUUGGCAAGUUACACACAGUGUGGGUGCAGUUUGGGAAAAUCCCUGAGUGUUUCAGACAUUUUUUUGGAAUGUGUGAGGUGGCUGCUGCUCUUGGUCCUGUUCUGGAAAUUGAAAUGUCCACCAUUCUGAAAGAGAAAAUCAGGGCUAAGGUGGGUGUCAGAGACUUUGAAAAAAUCCCUCAUCAAACUGAGAUCACUGACAAGGACCUGAUGAUAUACAAAAUCAACAUUAAGUUGGAAGAGGUAAUUGAACAAGGGUGGUAUGAAGGAAAAAUAAAGUUUGAGAUCAUGGAACCUGAGCUUGAGGGGGAUGAUAUGGGAGGUCAGAAAAAAAUGAAAAAGGAUGAGUUAGGAGUUGAUAGAACUAAAGAAAACAUCUCCUUGGGAAGUAUAUGA
rnacentral:rRNA from 1 species